rnacentral:rRNA from 1 species
UAGUAACUGCGAGUGAAGCGGGAAGAGCUCAAAUUUAAAAUCUGGCAGUCUUUGAUUGCCCGAGUUGUAGCCUAGAGAAGUGUCUUCCGCGCUGGACCGUGUACAAGUCUCUUGGAACAGAGCAUCAUAGAGGGUGAGAAUCCCGUCUUUGACACGGACUACCAGUGCUUUGUGAUGCGCUCUCAAAGAGUCGAGUUGUUUGGGAAUGCAGCUCAAAAUGGGUGGUAAAUUCCAUCUAAAGCUAAAUAUUGGCGAGAGACCGAUAGCGAACAAGUACCGUGAGGGAAAGAUGAAAAGCACUUUGGAAAGAGAGUUAAACAGUACGUGAAAUUGCUGAAAGGGAAACGCUUGAAGUCAGUCGUGUCAGUCAGAACUCAGCCUUGCUUUUGCUUGGUGCAUUUUCUGAUUGAUAGGCCAGCAUCAGUUUUGGUCAUAGGAGAAAGGUCAGAGAAAUGUGGCACCCUCGGGUGUGUUAUAGUCUUUGACUGCAUACUAUGACUGAGACUGAGGAACUCAGCACGCGCAAGCUGUGCUUAGGAUGUUGGCGUAAUGGCUUUAAACGACCCGUCUUGAAACACGGACCAAGGAGUCUAACAUACCUGCGAGUGUUUGAGUGGCAAACUCGAGCGCGUAAUGAAAGUGAAAGUUGGGAUCUCUGUCGCGGAGAGCACCGACGCCCGGACCAGACCUUCUGUGACGGAUCUGAGGUAGAGCAUGUAUGUUGGGACCCGAAAGAUGGUGAACUAUGCCUGAAUAGGGUGAAGCCAGAGGAAACUCUGGUGGAGCUCGUAGCGAUUCUGACGUGCAAAUCGAUCGUCAAUUUGGGUAUA